rnacentral:rRNA from 1 species
CGCGUAGGCGGACUUUCAAGUCAGGGGUGAAAUCCCGAGGCUCAACCUCGGAACUGCCUUUGAUACUGAUCGUCUUGAGUCCGAGAGAGGUGAGUGGAAUUCCUAGUGUAGAGGUGAAAUUCGUAGAUAUUAGGAAGAACACCAGUGGCGAAGGCGGCUCACUGGCUCGGUACUGACGCUGAGGCGCGAAAGCGUGGGGAGCAAACAGGAUUAGAUACCCUGGUAGUCC